AGCGCGUAGUCGGGGGGCCUGAAGGCUGAGAUCGCAUCACGCGAGACCCGUUGAACCUGAUUCAGUUAACACUGGCGUAGGGAACUAUAUGUCUUGUCAU
rnacentral:ncRNA from 2 species